GAUGAAGAACGUAGUGAAAUGCGAUAAGUAGUGUGAAUUGCAGAAUUCAGUGAAUCAUCGAAUCUUUGAACGCACAUUGCGCCCCUUGGUAUUCCAUGGGGCAUGCCUGUUCGAGCGUCAUCUACACCCUCAAGCUCUGCUUGGUGUUGGGCGUCUGUCCCGCCUUUGCGCGUGGACUCGCCCCAAAUUCAUUGGCAGCGGUCCUUGCCUCCUCUCGCGCAGCACAUUUGCGCUUCUCGAGGUGCGCGGGCCGCGUCCACGAAGCAACUAUUACCGUCUUUGACCUCGGAUCAGGUAGGGAUACCCGCUGAACUUAAGCAUAUCAAUAAGCGAGGA
rnacentral:misc_RNA from 1 species